rnacentral:rRNA from 1 species
UACGUAGGGUGCGAGCGUUAAUCGGAAUUACUGGGCGUAAAGCGUGCGCAGGCGGUUAUGUAAGACAGUUGUGAAAUCCCCGGGCUCAACCUGGGAAUUGCAUCUGUGACUGCAUAGCUAGAGUACGGUAGAGGGGGAUGGAAUUCCGCGUGUAGCAGUGAAAUGCGUAGAUAUGCGGAGGAACACCGAUGGCGAAGGCAAUCCCCUGGACCUGUACUGACGCUCAUGCACGAAAGCGUGGGGGAGCAAACAGG